rnacentral:rRNA from 1 species
UACGUCGGGUGCAAGCGUUGUCCGGAUUUAUUGGGCGUAAAGAGCUCGUAGGCGGUUUGGCAAGUCGGGUGUGAAACCUCCAGGCUCAACCUGGAGACGCCACUCGAUACUGCUAUGACUUGAGUCUGGUAGGGGAUCACGGAAUUCCUGGUGUAGCGGUGAAAUGCAUAGAUAUCAGGAGGAACACCGGUGGCGAAGGCGGUGAUCUGGGCCAGUACUGACGCUGAGGAGCGAAAGCGUGGGGAGCGAACAGG